rnacentral:lncRNA from 1 species
GUGUGAGAUCCUUUGGGUGUCCCUCCUCUCCAUGGCAUCAAGACCUUUUAGGUGUCUCUCUUACUGGUGUGAGGCAUCACACCAGAGCCCUUCUCUCUCCUCCCUUGUUGCCUUGUAAAGAUACUUUAAUCUGAGACUUCAUCCCACUUUCUUGCAAAGUUUGACGUACGCAAGAAAUAGAGGGUUUGUGGAUUCAGACCUAUGUGAGGCUUUGAAUUUAGAAUCUUUGAGAUUUGAUUCAAAUUUUACUGUAUAUUAAGUAAAAAUCUAAUUUUUAUUAAAUUAUUAUAAAAAAAUUUUAGAUGCAACCCUAGCUAUCCGCUGUAUUUUUCCUAAGAAACAUGUUUUUUUCCUUCAAUUGGUAUCAGAGCC